GAUGAACGCUGGCGGCGUGCCUAAUACAUGCAAGUCGAGCGAACAGAUGAGGAGCUUGCUCCUCUGACGUUAGCGGCGGACGGGUGAGUAACACGUGGAUAACCUACCUAUAAGACUGGGAUAACUUCGGGAAACCGGAGCUAAUACCGGAUAAUAUAUUGAACCGCAUGGUUCAAUAGUGAAAGACGGUUUUGCUUUCACUUAUAGAUGGACCCGCGCCGCAUUAGCUAGUUGGUAAGGUAACGGCUUACCAAGGCAACGAUGCGUAGCCGACCUGAGAGGGGGAUCGGCCACACUGGAACUGAGACACGGUCCAGACUCCUACGGGAGGCAGCAGUAGGGAAUCUUCCGCAAUGGGCGAAAGCUUGACGGAGCAACGCCGCGUGAGUGAUGAAGGUCUUCGAAUCGUAAAACUCUGUUAUUAGGGAAGAACAAAUGUGUAGUAACUAUGCACGUCUUGACGGUACCUAAUCAGAAAGCCACGGCUAACUACGUG
rnacentral:rRNA from 1 species